UCAAAAAUGGCCGCGGCUUUCCCAAUAAUUCGUGCUAGCUGGGCUUCAUUAGUACUAGUGGCGCCUUAUCUUUCUUGUAUAUAUAGUUUGUGUAUAAACUUCAUGUACUAAUUAAGCAUGCAUGUCCUCCUUCUCUUGUAUCACUCAUCGUAUCUUGCUUUUCAGUGAUAAUAUAAAUACUUACGUUGUGUCAA